AGGUCAGACCCUAACCUGUACUGAUGCAUGCAUUUAUUCUUCCCCAGGUGCAGAGCUCAGCACUUGCUCUUGUUAAAACCCAUCAGGUUCCUCCCUACCCAACUCUACAGCCUGUCCAGGAUUUGCUGAAUGGUAGCACAGCCUUCUGGUGUGUCAGCCAUUCCUCCCAGCUUUGUAUCAUCAGCAGACUUACUAAAGGUGGACUCUGUCCCUUCAUCCAGGUCACUGGUGAAGAUGUUGAAUGAGGCCGGACCAAGGACUGACCCUAGGGAACACUACUAAUUACAGGUCUCCAACCAGACUCUGCAUUGCUGAUGACAACCCUUUGAGUUCUGCCAGUCAGCCAGUUUUCAAUCCACCUUACUCAUCUGUCCCACACUUCUUCAGUUUCAUAACAAGGAUGUUGUGGGAGAAGGUGUCAAAUGCCUUGCUAAAGUCAAGGUACACAACAUCCACUGCUCUCCCCACCAGUGAUGACAUCAUAGUGAUGAUCUACCCAGCCAGUGAUGACAUCAUAGAAGGCUAUCAUAUUGGUCAAGCAUGAUUUCCCCUUGGUGAAUCCAUGUUGUCUAUCCUUGAUAAUCAUCGUUUCUUCCAGUUGGAGAAUUGGAAGAUGGCAUCCAGAACAAGUUGUUCAAUCACCUUUCCAGGCUGCCUUCAUGCAUGGUCUCAGUCUGUCAGUGUUGCUUGACACCGGAGUCUGGAGAAGACUGCUGACAUCAGCUGCACAGAAAGCAAUAGUAGCUCACUGUAGGGCUGGUGGAUUAUUCCUGAGGACAUGUUCAAGCUCCUGUUACAACUCUUAGUCCCAUGAUUGCUAUGGUGAUGCUACCUUAUAAAAGAACAUACCUGGAUGUUGUGUGUCACAAACCCCAAACACAAGGAUCAGACCUUCUGUUGAGACAAGAACAACUCCAUAGGUUGCAGACAUCUUCUGGCACCACUGCCAUUACCACCAUUUAAUCCAGAAAAUCAGUGCCACAAUUAUUUUAAUUAGAGACAGAUAUCAAAUAUUUGUGUUUUUUU